GCCCAGACUCCUACGGGAGGCAGCAGUGAGGAAUAUUGGUCAAUGGGCUUACGUCUGAACCAGCCAAGUCGCGUGAGGGAAGACUGCCCUAUGGGUUGUAAACCUCUUUUGUCAGGGAGCAACGCCGGCUACGUGUAGCCGGACUGAGAGUACCUGAAGAAAAAGCAUCGGCUACCUCCGUGCCAGCAGCCGCGGUAAUACGGAGGAUGCGAGCGUUAUCCGGGUUUAUUGGGUUUAAAGGGUGCGUAGGGCGAAUGGCAAAGUCGGGGGUAAAUGCGCGGGGCCAAACCUCGCCCCGCCGUUGAAACUGGCGUUCUUGAGUGGGCGAAAAGUAUGCGGAAUGCGUGGUGUAGCGGUGAAAUGCAUAGAUAUCACGCAGAACUCCGAUUGCGAAGGCAGCAUACCGGCGCCCAACUGACGCUGAAGCACGAAAGCGUGGGUAUCGAACAGGAUUAGAUACCCGAGUA
rnacentral:rRNA from 1 species